rnacentral:rRNA from 1 species
UACGGAGGGGGCGAGCGUUAUUCGGAAUUAUUGGGCGUAAAGGGCGCGUAGGCGGCUGUACAAGUCAAAGGUGAAAUCCCUCGGCUCAACUGAGGAACUGCCUUUGAAACUGUACGGCUUGAGGCCGGGAGGGGGUAGCGUAAUUCCCAAUGUAGCGGUGAAAUGCGUAGAUAUCGGGAAGAACACCCGUGGCGAAGGCGGCUCUCUGGGACGGUACUGACGCUGAGACGCGAAAGCGUGGGGAGCGAACAGG